AUCCCCAAUCUCAAAAAUCCCUAAUCUCUUCCCCUCUCCCAUUUUUUCCAUGCCCGCUCGGGUUUCCCCCCAUCCCAAACCCAAACCCAAACCCAAAAUCCUCAAUCUCAAAAUCCCUAAUCUCUUCUUACGUCUCUCUCUCUUUCUCUCCGUCUCAAUUUGUUUCAGAUGCUGAUUCGGAUGAUUCACGGUCGAGGAGGAAGAGGAAGAGCAGGAGUUCUAGGCGUAGAAGUAGGAAAUCAAAAUCAGUCGGUGAUAGUGAAUCGGAUUCUCUCCAAGUGAGACAAAUCUUGAGAGGAAGAAGAUGGAAAAUAAGGUAAAACGAAUGGAGAUGGAGCAGAAAAGUUGCUCCUUGAAGGUCAAAAAACUAAUAGAGAAACAUGCUUGUAUAACACUUGAGAAACACCGAUUUGGAAGAAGUGGGACAGAUUAUGAUUUUGCAUCUCGUGAGCCUCAUACAGCAAGGGAAGAUUUUGAAAAGCUACAAGUUGAGCAAUUAGAGUGUGUAUCUGAGAAACCCUAUUCAGGCCCUAGAUGUGCUACCAUGUCAAGCUGAGUUAGAGUUGUAAAGUUCAUGCGGUGACUCUAUGGUACAGGGCACCAGAAAUACUCCUUGGAUCUCGCCACUAUUCGACUCCUGUGGAUGUUUGGUCAGUGGGUUGUAUAUUUGCUGAAAUGGUGAAUCAGCGGCCAUUGUUCCCUGGGGACUCUGAGAUUGAUGAACUAUUCAAAAUCUUCAGGUUUAUAACCUGAACAACAUUUUUUUCUGUUGUUUUUUGGAAAAAGUUGUAUUUAGGCUGCUCAUUUAUAAUUUGGAAAGCCAUGCUCUGUAUAGAAGUUUUUGAUGGCCUCACAGAUCAGUUACUUGUGUUCAUUUUGACCUGAAUGCAUACCAUUAAAAUUAUAUGUAUGUCCGUUUAGGAAGGAACUUGAGCCAAUCAUUGACAUGGAAAAAUGUUUUAACUGUUGAAUGACAUGGAAAAAUUAUAUCUGGAAAUGCUUUGUGCCAAUACUUUUCUAUGGCUUCACAUUCACAUUCCCUUUGUUGAACUUCUAGACGAAUGAUUAAAUGACCUGCUCAGCAGCCACAGAGGGCCAAGACUUAAAAUUAACUAUGAAUAGUGAUGAUCAUAAGGCCUGAAACUCUAAUGUGGUCUCCAGUUUUCAAACUAACUAGUAGUUGAGGCCCAAGGUUUGGGCCAGUUCGUUUGCUACAUCUCAAGCUUUGUAGCUUCAAUGUAAUUAUGUUAUUGUACAACCGUUUAACAUUUAUCCAUGGUCUUACAACAAUUGUUGAAAAAUCUACUAAUUUUGGAGUUUGAUAGAGUUUGAAUUAUAAUUCUUAGUGGCUUCACUGUGUAAACUACUAAACUUUCUGCUGGGGAUUGUUAUGGAGUGUCUCUGAAGACUACCAGCAAACCACUUGCUGCAGUCAGUUAGAGAUUUAUUCCCCUUCCCUUUGAUAGAAACACCACCGGGAUACCACUGGCUGUAGUGGGUUCCGUAUUUGUUAGAUUCUUGUUCUUAUUUUUAAAGUUUUUUUUAGUUAUUUCUUCUUAUAUUCUAUGUAUAAAAUUGGAAGAAAUUUCUGCAUUCGGUUAUCAAUAAAGACAAGACCAAUGUUAGAUAGAUCCCAAUUCUAUAGUUGUAAAUUUUUACUUGAUGUUUAGAAAAUCUGGAAUUUUUUCAUGGAUAAGCAACUGCUCUAAAUUAGAAGGAAGAAAGCAGGAAAAAUGACUACUCUUGAAUUUUAUUGGCUUUAUGGUUGAGAUCCUUUAUCUGCUUUUUGACAUUUAGAUAUGCUGACCUACAGAAAGG